rfam:Schistosoma margrebowiei strain Zambia genome assembly, scaffold: SMRZ_scaffold0002763
AUCCAACCGACGAGUCCCAAAUAGGACGAAACGCGCUUGCUGUAU